rnacentral:snRNA from 1 species
CGCUUCUUGAGUUCUCAGC